UACGUAGGGUGCAAGCGUUGUCCGGAAUUAUUGGGCGUAAAGAGCUCGUAGGCGGUUUGUUGCGUCGGCUGUGAAAUCCCGAGGCUCAACCUCGGGUCUGCAGUCGAUACGAGCAAACUAGAGUGUUGCAGGGGAGACUGGAAUUCCUGGUGUAGCGGUGAAAUGCGCAGAUAUCAGGAGGGACACCGGUGGCGAAGGCGGGUCUCUGGGCAACAACUGACGCUGAGGAGCGAAAGCGUGGGGAGCGAACAGG
rnacentral:rRNA from 1 species